CUACUUAUAAUAUUAUUCCUUGGUUUACCCAACCUGUCUAAAACCAGCCCUUGUGUUUUAUUCAACAUUUGUGGAGAGUCUUUGUCAGUUGCUCAGAGAGAUGCUGGGACUAGAAGGUCCAACACCUUAUGGUCCAUGUUCAGUCAAGGCACUGGGGAAGACAGCAAACAAAUCACACUGAUCAGAGAGUGACUCAGAGAUCUGCCACUUGCUGGUUCACUCUCCAAUGCCUGCAACAUUGAAGGCUGAGCCAGGUGGAAGCCAAGAGCCUGGAACAUCAUACGAAUGUCCCAUGUGGGUGGCAGGGACCUCCUCCUUGAGCCAUCACCUGUUACCUCCCAGAAUGUGCCUUCUCAGGAAGCAGGGUCAGCAAGGAGCUGGGCAAGCGGCAGGCAUGCUGAUGUGGAGGGGGGCGUUCCAGUCAACGUUUUAACAGCUGUGCCAGAUGUCACCCUUGCGCUCUUGUUUCUUGACUUUUUGUGUGUUCUUAUGUCAGUGUCAUUCUAGUAGCUUCCUUAACUGGGUUAAAAUAAAAAUGAGUGUUAAUUCUGUUGAAUACUAACUGAUACAUAGUAUCCCUGUACACAACCUCACAUAAACUUGUGAAUUAAUCCAUGGUUUCAAACAUGAAAAGGUACAGCUGGGUUAGCACAGAGUCCACAAGGCAAGCUAUGUGUUGCCCUUCCCUGUCCCGCUGCCCCCAUUCAGAUGAGCACACACACAGAAAGAAAACAUUCCCUGGCCUGAGUGGGCUCUGCUGACCCCUAAAUUCACUUGUCUUUCCCAGAAUAAGAAUCAGCUAUUUGAGUUCAGAUGGAUACUUCUGAAAACUAGUUGGUUUGCCUAAAUUUACUACUCUGGAAGAGAGGAAAAUCAGGUUGAAACCUUCAUGCUGAUUCUAAUCCAGUCAUAUGUGGUUAUAAAGACCAUUGGAAUAAUA